GCUCCCGUAGCUCAGCUGGAUAGAGCACUUGACUACGAAUCAAGGGGUCGGACGUUCGAAUCGUUCCGGGAGCGCCA
rnacentral:tRNA from 1 species